ACUGAUAUAGAAUAAGCAUAGCAAUUAAUAUUGAAGAGCCGCGGUAACUCUGACCGUGCUAAGGUAGCAUAAUCAAUCGCCUCUUAAUUGGAGGCUAGAAUGAAAGGAAUAACGAGUCCCUCUCUGUCUCAAGUGCAGGCAAGUCGAAAUUUAGUACCUCGUUAAGACGCGAGGAAACCCUGGUUAGACGAGAAGACCCCGUCGAGCUUUACUUUAAUUUAUCGAAUACAGGGUUCCUUGGAAAGGAACUAACUUCGGAUAAUGAAAUAGUUUAGUUGGGGUGACUGCCCAAAAUUUAUAAACUUGGGUGAACAACGGUUUCUUAUAAAAUAGUAAUCUUUACUGAAGGGGGGACACCCUUAUCAGUUACAAAGUAGUGUAGGUUUUAAAAACCCGUUCUUUAAGGGGGAACGAUAUCGUAUAAAAGCUACCGCGGGGAUAACAGGGUUAUUUAGUCUUAGAGCUCCUAUCGAAGGCUGAGUUUAUGACCUC
rnacentral:rRNA from 1 species